rnacentral:rRNA from 1 species
UGCCAGCCGCCGCGGUAAUACGCAGGGGGUUAGCGUUGUUCGGAAUUACUGGGCGUAAAGCGCACGUAGGCGGAUUGGAAAGUUAGAGGUGAAAUCCCAGGGCUCAACCCUGGAACUGCCUUUAAAACUAUCAGUCUAGAGGUCGAGAGAGGUGAGUGGAAUUCCGAGUGUAGAGGUGAAAUUCGUAGAUAUUCGGAGGAACACCAGUGGCGAAGGCGACUCACUGGUCCGAUACUGACGCUGAGGUGCGAAAGCGUGGGGAGCAAACAGGAUUAGAUA